UUGCAGCCCCGAUUGUAGCGGCAUCCUUUUGUCCCGCAGGGAAAAAGAUACAGCGAAAAGCGGGAAAUGUC
rnacentral:sRNA from 1 species